rnacentral:rRNA from 1 species
UACGAAGGGGGCUAGCGUUGUUCGGAAUUACUGGGCGUAAAGCGCACGUAGGCGGAAUGUUAAGUCAGGGGUGAAAUCCCGGGGCUCAACCCCGGAACUGCCUUUGAUACUGGCAUUCUCGAGUCCGGAAGAGGUGAGUGGAAUUCCGAGUGUAGAGGUGAAAUUCGUAGAUAUUCGGAGGAACACCAGUGGCGAAGGCGGCUCACUGGUCCGGAACUGACGCUGAGGUGCGAAAGCGUGGGGAGCAAACAGG